CGAAGUCUGGUGCCAGCAGCCGCGGUAAUUCCAGCUCCAAUAGCGUAUAUUAAAUUGUUGCAGUUAAAAAGCACGUAGUUGAAUUUCGGGGUCAGUAGGUUGGUCGUGCCACCGGUACGUACUGGUCUCACUGAUUCCUCCUUCCUGAAGAACCGUAAUGCCAUUAAUUUGGUGUUGCGGGAAACAGGACUGUUACUUUGAAAAAAUUAGAGUGUUUAAAGCAAGCUAACGCUUGAAUACAUUAGCAUGGAAUAAUGAAAUAGGACGAUCGAUCCUAUUUUGUUGGUUUCUAGGAUUGACGUAAUGAUUAAUAGGGAUAGUUGGGGGCAUUAGUAUUCAAUUGUCAGAGGUGAAAUUCUUGGAUUUAUUGAAGACUAACUACUGCGAAAGCAUUUGCCAAGGAUGUUUUCAUUAAUCAAGAACGAAAGUUAGGGGGAUCGAAGACGAUCAGAUACCGUCGUAGUCUUAACCAUAAACUAUGCCGACUAGGGAUCGGAUGAUGUUAAUUUUAUAAUGACUCAUUCGGCGCCUUACG
rnacentral:rRNA from 1 species